UACGUAGGUGGCAAGCGUUGUCCGGAUUUACUGGGUAUAAAGGGCGUGUAGCCGGGAAGGCAAGUCAGAUGUGAAAUCCGGAGGCUCAACCUCCGAAUUGCAUUUGAAACUGUUUUUCUUGAGUACUGGAGAGGCAGACGGAAUUCCUUGUGUAGCGGUGAAAUGCGUAGAUAUAAGGAGGAACACCAGUGGCGAAGGCGGUCUGCUGGACAGCAACUGACGGUGAGGCGCGAAAGCGUGGGGAGCAAACAGG
rnacentral:rRNA from 1 species